UACAGAGGUCUCAAGCGUUGUUCGGAUUCAUUGGGCGUAAAGGGUGCGUAGGCGGCGCGGUAAGUCGGGUGUGAAAUCUCGGAGCUUAACUCGGAACGGUCAGAUGAUACUGCUUUGCUAGAGUGCAGAAGGGGCAAUCGGAAUUCUCGGUGUAGCGGUGAAAUGCGUAGAUAUCGAGAGGAACACCUGAGGUGAAGACGGGUUGCUGGGCUGACACUGACGCUGAGGCGCGAAAGCGUGGGGAGCAAACAGG
rnacentral:rRNA from 1 species